rnacentral:ncRNA from 1 species
AUAAAGUUUUAUUCUAGCUUAGGGGAUUAGUUUAUAGUUUUUAUAUAUGUAAAUUUUGUUUAAAUAAGUUAAUUGCAGUAUAUAUAUUUAAAAAUUAAUGAAAAUUAGAUUUAGGAAAUUGUAAUAAUUUUAACAAAAUUUGUGCCAGCAGUUGCGGUUAUACAAAUAAAGUGAUUAAUUGUUAUUAGUUUAUAAUAAAUAGUAAUAAAAAAUUUAUAAUUAAAAUUAUUAGGUGAAAUUUUAAUUUUAAGAGAGUUUAAUUAUUUUAUAUAAUUUAUUAAAUUUUUUUGAUAAACUAGGAUUAGAUACCCUAUUAUUAAUUAUAUAAAUUUUUAACUUGAUUAUUAAUAGUUAUAACCUUUAAAAUUAAAGAAUUUGGCGGUAUUUUAGUCUUUUUAGAGGAACCUGUUUAGUAAUUGAUAACCCACGAUUAAAUUAACUUAAAUUAGAAAUUUGUAUAUCGUCGUAGUUGAAUAUUUUAAAAGAAUUUCUAAUAUUCAAAAAUUUAUAUUAAAUAAUAAAUCAGAUCAAGGUGCAGUUUAUAUUUAAGAAUUAAAUGGGUUACAUUUAAUUUAUUUUUAGUUUAAAAUUUGUAAAGUUUUAAUAAAUUGGAUUUAAUAGUAAUUAUUUUUAUAUUUUUAUAAUGAGUAAGCUCUAAAAUAUGCACAUAUCGCCCGUCAUUCUCAUUAAAAUGAGACAAGUCGUAACAAAGUAGAGGUACUGGAAAGUGUUUCUAGUAAGAC